GUGUCAGCAGCCGCGGUAAUACGGAGGGGGCCAGCGUUGCUCGGAAUCACUGGGCGUAAAGGGCUCGUAGGCGGUUUGAUAAGUCCUGUGUGAAAUCCCUUGGCUCAACCAAGGAAUGGCGCAGGAUACUGUCAUACUUGAGGCCGGGAGAGGGAAGCGGAAUUCCCAGUGUAGCGGUGAAAUGCGUAGAUAUUGGGAGGAACACCGGUGGCGAAGGCGGCUUCCUGGACCGGUUCUGACGCUCAAGAGCGAAAGCCAGGGGAGCAAACAGGAUUAGAAACCCGGGUAGUCC
rnacentral:rRNA from 1 species